CAUCUAUCAUCACCCUGCCUUUGGACGUGACCAGUACAUUGUGUGUUUCACAGAAAUUAAUCUGGUGUUUCGGAGGAGAAAGGCAUUUCGGAAUCAGUCUGCGUGCAGAACCCUUCCUGCAGACCCUGCAGACGCAGUUUCAACGCCUUUCGCCCCUGCUCAGCAAGUCUCAAACUUGACCUUCGAGAGGAUUUCAAGGGUAAUGCCUUCCUCCCUUUCCCCGGCGCCCUACCCACCAGUAUGGCCAGAGAUCACCUUAGACAAACCAGCCUUCACCUCGGACCCAGGCCCUCUGCAGACUCAAGUUGGGGAUAUUCGUCCGAGUGGUCCAAGAAUUCCCCAAGUAUCUCCCAGUCGCUGGCUCUCUCGAUAAGCUGAAACGCGGCCGCCCGCGCGGUAAUGACCUUUGCUCGCUGCUGUCGGGGCUGGCACGAAGCGCCAGGAGCGCUCAGGGACGCCCAAGCUUUGGACAAUGGGAAGGCGGAGCGAGAGAGAAACUCAGGUAUACAUGUUUUAAAGAGAUGUGCUGAAAACUUUUACAAAUGCUAAAUAAGAGGAGAAGGCUAAGUGAGUUGCUGUUUUUUCUUUUUUCUUAAGUAUGUUUACUCUUUGUGCCACGCCAAACCUAGAGGAAAACGUUGGCACUGGCUUCUUAUGCUAUGUAUACUGUAAGAUGCCGUCUAUUUGCAUGAUCAUAAGAUGGUCAGGACAUUUCUCCCCUAUUGCACAAAUCCCUUAGGAAAACUGUGUUUGAGUUUCCCAUUUUUACGCUGAUCGGAAAAGAUACUCACUCAUCCAGAGACAUUAUCUAAAUCUGCGAAAGAAUGAGGGCUGCUUGUCAUGCGUCCUUCGUCUCCACUAACGUGUGCCACCCGAUUAGAAGCAAUUUAAGCAAUCAAGGCCGUUAUGAGAAGGGGAUGUUAAAAAUAGGUUUUCUAUAGCCUCAGCACUCUAAUUCAGAAGAAAAUCUAAAAUUACAUAUGUAUCAUUUCUUUAUAUGAAAUAUAUAAUCCCAGUGUCGCCUGCUCGCUCUUUUUUCCCUCCGUAGUCCCUCCCCUGCCUUCCUUUAGGAAAUUCGUAAAGUGUAAGGCUCCGAUGGAGAGAAAGGACUAAGGUUCCUAAAAAAGUCUUUCUGAGACCAAACGAGAGGGUUUGUGGGGUGCUUGGCCCAGCCUUUCCUGGGGCUCCUCGCCGUGGUAGCGCCCAUAAUUGUGGAUGCUCUCUGACUUUGAAUCCGUGGAGGGAGAAAAAAAUCCCUCAAAUGUCCUGCCCAGACGGAAGGACCCCACUCCUGGAAUCGAGUUGUAGAACCCAAGGCUCCGGGGGUUCGAGGGCUGGCGGAUCGAGGGUUUGGGCUCUGCUCACUCGAGGCAAAUCUGGCUAACUGCUGACAGGCACGUCCACCUUGGGCGUCCGGGGUGCAGAGAAAGGGCAAAGAGGAUGUGUUGGGGGAAAGAAAAGCAGGUACAUGCUUCCAAACGGAACGGGAUAAGUAGAAAG
rnacentral:lncRNA from 1 species